rnacentral:ncRNA from 1 species
AAGUUUUAUUCUUGCUUGCUAAUUAUUUGCUUUUCAAUUAUUUUAUAUGUAAGUUUUUGCGUAUAUUAGUUUUAUUAUUCUUAAUGGGUUUAUUAAUUUUGUUUUGUAAUUCGCAGUAUAAAGUUUUAUAAAUUAAUGGGAGUUUGAUUUGGUAAUUUUGAUUUAUUAUUGGUAAAAUUUGUGCCAGCAUCCGCGGUUAUACAAUGAAUAUGAGUGAAUAUUUUUGGUUAAGAUAGUUAAAGAAUUAUUGUUUGGGUUAUUUUUAUAUUUUUAGGUGAAAUUUUAAUUUUUAUUAUAACUUUAUUUUUCUUGAGGCUGUUAAAUCUUUAAUUUUAAACUAGGAUUAGAUACCCUAUUAUUUUUGAUAUAAAUUAAUUAUUUUAAUCUAGGUAGUACUAGUUAUGAUCUUGAAACUUAAAGAAUUUGGCGGUAUUUUAGUCUAUUUAGAGGAGUCUGUCCCUUGAUCGAUAAUCCGCGUUGGACCUUACCAAGUCUUUUUAUAUUUGUAUACCGCCGUUAUAAUGAAAAUCUUUUUAGAGAUUAUUAAUUUUCUUGAUUUGUUUAUAAAGUUUAUUUCAGGUCAAGGUGCAGUUUAUGAUUUGGUGGAGAUGGAUUACAUUUAAGGAUUUAUUAUUGGAUUUAUUGAUUGAAAUUUUAUUAUGAAAUUGGAUUUAAUUGUAAUUUUUUGAAGUUUGUAUAAAUGAUUAUAGCUCUAGAAUAUGUACACAUCGCCCGUCACUCUCAUAUGAUUAAUUGAGAUAAGUCGUAACAUAGUGGUUGUACCGGAAGGUGUAGCUGGAUUGAUUUAUUUUAUA